rnacentral:rRNA from 1 species
UACGGGGGAGGCAAGCGUUGUUCGGAUUUACUGGGCGUAAAGGGCGCGUAGGCGGCCACCGCAAGUCGACUGUGAAAGUCUCCGGGCUUAACCCGGAAAGGUCAGCCGAUACUGCGGGCUAGAGUGCAGAAGGGGCAACUGGAAUUCUCGGUGUAGCGGUGAAAUGCGUAGAUAUCGAGAGGAACACCUGCGGCGAAGGCGGGUUGCGUGGGCUGAUACUGACGCUGAGGCGCGAAAGCCAGGGGAGCGAACGGG